rnacentral:rRNA from 1 species
GAUCAUGGCUCAGGACGAACGCUGGCGGCGUGCCUAACACAUGCAAGUCGAACGAAACUUCUUUAAAGGAUUUCUUCGGAAUGAAUUUGAUUAAGUUUAGUGGCGGACGGGUGAGUAACGCGUGAGUAACCUGCCUCUAAGAGGGGAAUAACAUUCUGAAAAGAAUGCUAAUACCGCAUAACAUAUAUUUAUCGCAUGGUAGAUAUAUCAAAGAUUUAUCGCUUAGAGAUGGACUCGCGUCCG